AGCUUGCGAAGGAUCCCUUGGUGUUUAGAAACGAUGAAGGACGUGAUUACCAGCGAAAUGCUUCGGGGAGUUGGAUAUAAGCUUUGAUCCGGAGGUCUCCGAAUGAGGAAACUCUGUAACUUUUUUUUGAAUUUAUAGAAAAAAAGAGUCAACCUAGGGAACUGAAACAUCUUAGUACCUAGAGGAAAAGAAAGUAAAAACGAUUCCCGUAGUAGUGGCGAACGAACUGGGAGCAGCCUAAACUUUUAAACUUAUUUUAAAAGGGUUGUGGGAUUAAAUAUCAAAAAAAAAAAAAUUAUAGCUAAAUGAAAGUAUUGGAAACUACUACCAAAGAAAGUGAUAGUCUUGUAAUUGAAAGCUAAAAUUUUUUUUAAUUUUUUCCCGAGUAGCAUGAGACACGUGGAAUCUCGUGUGAAUCUGCGAGGACCACCUCGUAAGGCUAAAUAUUCCUAAACAUCCGAUAGUGAACAAGUACCGCGAGGGAAAGGUGAAAAGAACCCCGGAAGGGGAGUGAAAAGAACGUGAAAUUGCAAGCUUACAAACAGAAGAAGAACGACUAAGCGUUUGACUUCGUGCCUGUUGAAGAAUGUUCCAGCGAGUUAUAGGUAGUGGCUUGGUUAAAAUAAAGAUAUUGAAGCCAUAGUGAAAGCGAGCUUGAAGAGAGCGUUUUGUCACUAUUUAUAGACCCGAACCCGUUUGAUCUAACCAUGUCCAGAAUGAAACUCAGGUAAAACUGAAUGGAGGUUCGAACCGACUAAUGUUGAAAAAUUAGCGGAUGAGGUGUGGUUAGCGGUGAAAUGCCUAUCGAAAACGGAGCUAGCUGGUUCUCCCCGAAAUGUAUUUAGGUGCAGCAGUUAAGAUUAUAGCGUAGGGGUAAAGCACUGUUUCGGUGCGGGCGGGUAAUACUGUACCAAAUCGAGGCAAACUCUGAAUACUACGUGUACACUUAACUAGUAAGACUAUGAGGGAUAAGCUUCAUAGUCAAGAGGGAAAGAGCCCAGACCAUCAACUAAGGCCCCUAAAUAAUUUCUAAGUGAUAAAGGUAGUGAAAAGGCUCAGACAACCAGGAGGUUUGCUUAGAAGCAGCAAUCCUUUAAAAAGUGCGUAAUAGCUUACUGGUCUAGCAAUUUUGCGCCGAAAAUUUACGGGACUAAGAAGUUUGCCGAAGUUAUGGGAUAUAAUAUUUUUUUAUAUCGGUAGGGGAGCGUUCCAUUAUAGGUUGAAGUAUUAGCGAAAGCGAAUAUGGACGAAAUGGAAGUGAGAAUGCUGGAUUGAGUAACGAAAACAUUGGUGAGAAUCCAAUGCUCCGAAAUCCUAAGGUUUCCCUCGGAAGGUUCGUCCGCGAGGGGUUAGUCAGGGCCUAAGAUGAGGCUGAAAAGCGUAAUCGAUGGAUAAUGAGUGAAAUAUUCUUAUACUCAGUAAAUUUGGAUCGAGUGACGAAGAAGGCUAGAUGGGCCGGGUAGUGGUUACCGGUUUAAGCAUACGAGGUUAUGAGAAGUAGAGAAAAUACUUUGAGCUAAGUUGCGAAUACAAGACUUUUAAGGUCAAAGCCAUACGAUGUCAUACUUCCAAGAAAAGCUCUAAAUCCGCAAAAUUUAUUGACCUGUACCCUAAACCGACACAGGUAGGAAGGUAGAGAAUACCAAGGAGCGCGAGAGAACUCUCCUUAAGGAACUCGGCAAAUUAACUCUGUAACUUCGGAAGAAAGAGUGCCCAUUAAUCGUGGGUUGCAAUAUCAAGUUCCAAGCAACUGUUUAGCAAAAACACAGGUCUCCGCAAAGUUGCAAAACGACGUAUGGGGGCUGACGCCUGCCCAGUGCCGGAAGGUUAAAGAAGUUGGUACGCAUGCUAGCGACUGAAGCCCCGGUGAACGGCGGCCAUAACUAUAAUGGUCCUAAGGUAGCGAAAUUCCUUGUCGGGUAAGUUCCGACCCGCACGAAUGGCGUAAUGACUUGGAAGCUGUCUCAAGGAGAGACUCGGUGAAAUAGAAAUGUCUGUGAAGAUGCGGACUACUUGCGCCUGGACAGUAAGACCCUAUGAAGCUUUACUGCAUCUUGAAAUUGGCUUUUGAUUUUUGUUGCGCAGAAUAGGUGGGAGACUAUGAAAUUUUUCUUCUGGGAAAGAUGGAGUCAUCAAUGAGAUACCACUCUACACAAAUUGAAAUCCUAACUUUAAUCCGUGAGCCGGAUAAAGAACAGUUUCUGGUGGGCAGUUUGACUGGGGCGGUCGCCUCCUAAAAAGUAACGGAGGCGUACAAAGGUUUCCUCAGAUCGGUUAGAAAUCGAUCGAUGAGUGUAAUGGCAAAAGGAAGCUUAACUGUGAGACAAACAAGUCGAACAGAAACGAAAGUUGGUCAUAGUGAUCUGACGCUGCUGUGUGGAAAGGGCGUCACUCAACGGAUAAAAGUUACUCUAGGGAUAACAGGCUAAUCUCCUCAUAGAGUUCCUAUCGACGAGGAGGUUUGGCACCUCGAUGUCGGCUCAUCGCAUCCUGGGGCGGUAGUACGUCCCAAGGGUUGGGCUGUUCGCCCAUUAAAGCGGUACGUGAGCUGGGUUCAGAACGUCGUGAGACAGUUCGGUCCAUAUCCGGCGUGAGCGUUAGAGUAUUGCGAGUGGCCUUUCUCUAGUACGAGAGGAUCGAGAAAGAUAUACCUCUGGUCUACCAGUUAUUCUGCCAAGGGUAAACGCUGGGUAGCUAUGUAUAGUUUGGAUAACCGCUGAAAGCAUCUAAGUGGGAAGCCGUCCUCAAGAUGAGUACUCUUAGGCUGCGGAUAGACUAUCCGCUUGAUAGGAAUCAGGUGCAAAAUCAGCAAUGGUUGUAGCCGAGAUUUACUAAUA
rnacentral:rRNA from 1 species